UACCCGUAGCUCCUUGCCAUGUU
rnacentral:miRNA from 1 species